rnacentral:rRNA from 1 species
GACGAACGCUGGCGGCGUGCUUAACACAUGCAAGUCGAACGGAAAGGCCCUGCUUUUGUGGGGUGCUCGAGUGGCGAACGGGUGAGUAACACGUGAGUAACCUGCCCUUGACUUUGGGAUAACUUCAGGAAACUGGGGCUAAUACCGGAUAGGAGCUCCUGCUGCAUGGUGGGGGUUGGAAAGUUUCGGCGGUUGGGGAUGGACUCGCGGCUUAUCAGCUUGUUGGUGGGGUAGUGGCUUACCAAGGCUUUGACGGGUAGCCGGCCUGAGAGGGUGACCGGCCACAAUGGGACUGAGAUACGGACCAGACUGCUACGGGAGGCAGCAGUGGGGAAUAUUGCACAAUGGGCGGAAGCCUGAUGCAGCAACGCCGCGUGCGGGAUGACGGCCUUCGGGUUGUAAACCGAUUUCGCCUGUGACGAAGCGUGAGUGACGGUAAUGGGUAAAGAAGCACCGGCUAACUACGUG